rnacentral:rRNA from 1 species
GGGGGGGGGGGGGGGGGUGCUUGGGGGGGGGGGGGCGGACGGUGGGGCGCGGCUUGCUGGGUGGGUUGGUGGCGGACGGGGGGGUAACACGUGAGUAACCUGCCCUUAACUCUUGGAUAAGCCUGGGAACCUCGGUCUCAUCCCGGCUAGGAGCGUCCACCGCAUGGUGGGUGUUUGCAAGAUUUAUCGGUUUUGGAUGGACUCGCGGCCUCUCAGCUUGUUGGUGAGGUAAUGUCUCACCAAGGCGACGACGGGUAGCCGGCCUGAGAGGGUGACCGGCCACACUGGGACUGAGACACGGCCCAGACUCCUACGGGAGGCAGCAGUGGGGAAUAUUGCACAAUGGGCGAAAGCCUGAUGCAGCGACGCCGCGUGAGGGAUGACGGCCUUCGGGUUGUAAACCUCUUUCAGUAGGGAAGAAGCGAAAGUGACGGUACCUGCAGAAGAAGCACCGGCUAACUACGUG